rnacentral:rRNA from 1 species
GAUGAACGCUGGCGGCGUGCCUAAUACAUGCAAGUCGAGCGAACGGACGAGAAGCUUGCUUCUCUGACGUUAGCGGCAGACGGGUGAGUAACACGUGGAUAACCUACCUAUAAGACUGGGAUAACUUCGGGAAACCGGAGCUAACACCGGAUGAUAUCUUGAACCGCAUGGUUCAAAAGUGAAAGACGGUCUUGCUGUCACUUAUAGAUGGAUCCGCGCUGCAUGAGCUAGUUGGUAAGGUAACGGCUUACCAAGGCAACUAUGCAUAGCCGACCUGAGAGGGUGGACGGCCAGCCGGGAACUGAGACACGAUCCAGACUCCUACGGGAGGAAGCAGUAGGGAAUCUUCCGCGAUGGAGCAAAGCCUGACAGAGCAACGUCGCGUGAGUGAUGAAGGUCUUCGGAUCGGAAAACGAUGUUAUUAGGGAAGUACAUAUGUGUAAGUAACUGUGCACAUCUUGACGGUACCUAAUCAGAAAGCCACGGCUAACUACGUG